rnacentral:rRNA from 1 species
GGGGGGGGGGGGGGGGGGGGGUGGGGCGGGGGGGGCGAGCGGACGGAGGAGGGGGUUGGGCCACGGGCGGUAGCGGCGGACGGGUGAGUAGCACGGGGAUAGCCUCGCUAUGAGACUGGGGUACCUUCGGGGCACCGGAGCUAAUACCGUAUAAUAUAUGUGCCCGCGUGGUUGCAGCGUCGAAGCCAGUUUUGGCUGUCCCUAUCGAUGGAUCCGCGCCGCAGUAGCCACAUCGUAAGGUAACGGCUUACCCAGGCAACGCUGCUGAGCCGACCCGAGAGGGUGAUCGGCCACACUGGAACUGAGACACGGUCCAGACUCCUACGGGAGGCAGCAGUAGGGAAUCUUCCGCAAUGGGCGAAAGCCUGACGGAGCAACGCCGCGUGAGUGAUGAAGGUCUUCGGAUCGUAAAACUCUGUUAUUAGGGAAGAACAAAUGUGUAAGUAACUAUGCACGUCUUGACGGUACCUAAUCAGAAAGCCACGGCUAACUACGUG